rnacentral:rRNA from 2 species
UGGCGCUUGGUGUUGACCCAUCCUGCAGUCGAGCGGACAGAUGGGAGCUUGCUCCCUGAUGUUAGCGGCGGACGGGUGAGUAACACGUGGGUAACCUGCCUGUAAGACUGGGAUAACUCCGGGAAACCGGGGCUAAUACCGGAUGCUUGUUUGAACCGCAUGGUUCAGACAUAAAAGGUGGCUUCGGCUACCACUUACAGAUGGACCCGCGGCGCAUUAGCUAGUUGGUGAGGUAACGGCUCACCAAGGCAACGAUGCGUAGCCGACCUGAGAGGGUGAUCGGCCACACUGGGACUGAGACACGGCCCAGACUCCUACGGGAGGCAGCAGUAGGGAAUCUUCCGCAAUGGACGAAAGUCUGACGGAGCAACGCCGCGUGAGUGAUGAAGGUUUUCGGAUC